AGAGAGAGACAUGCGCGCAUAUCAAUAAGCGGAGGAAAAGAAACUAACUAGGAUUCCCCUCAGUAACGGCGAGUGAAGCGGGAAGAGCUCAAAUUUGAAAUCUUCAAGGGUUCUACCUUUACGAAUUGUAGUUUAAAGAAGUGUUUUCUGUUGAGGUUUUGGUAAAAGUUCUUUGGAAUAGGACAUCAUAGAGGGUGAGAAUCCCGUAUUUGACCAUUACUUUCCAACUUUGUGAUACACUUUCAAAGAGUCGGAUUGUUUGGGAAUGCAGUCCAAAAUGGGUGGUAAAUUUCAUCUAAAGCUAAAUAUUGGCGAGAGACCGAUAGCGAACAAGUACCGUGAGGGAAAGAUGAAAAGAACUUUGAAAAGAGAGUUAAACAGUACGUGAAAUUGUCAAAAGGGAAGCGUUUGACACCAGUGUUGUUUUCUCGAAAAUCAAUUAAAAAAGGCAGGAUUUUGUGUUGUAUUGACUUUAUCAGCUUUCUGCACUCUUUUCUUGUCUUUUUUAAUGCACUUUUCGUUUAACAAGUCAACAUCAAUUUCUUUUGUUGUAAAAGGGUCAUUGGAAGGUGGCUUUCUUUUCGGAGAAAGUGUUUAUAGCCUUUGGCCUCUGCAAUCGGAGAGAUUGAGGUCUGCAGCGUAGAUCCUUCGGGGUUAGAUACAUUUGUGCUAAGAUUAUAGCCUUUCAUAGACAACUUGUUGACUAUGAUCAGUCAUGUAGCUUACUCGCUUAUGCUAUUUUACCUACGCUUAGGAUGUUGAUGUGAUACUGCGAGCA
rnacentral:rRNA from 1 species